ACUAAAUUCGUACAGGUUUCGCCGCCCUACCGCCGCACUAUCGCCGCGCUACCGCCGCUUCGCGAUCUCACAGAUGUGGAUGUCCAUGCCUUCAAAUCCCACAAAAUCAGCCGCAAAUAUAGCAAUAGAGCUCAAGCGAUCACUCUCUCUCUCUCUCGGCCUCUCUCUUUCUCUCUCUAAAAGUGUUAUAGGAGAUCGAAGAUGAUAGAGAGCUCCGCGAAUGCGAAGACCUCUUCGCAGAUCGCGCCGCUUUUGGUUUUGAAGCCGCACCCAGAGGGGGUUCUUCGCCGAGAACUUCCGAGAUUUCUCCAUCGCACUCCCCAAGUCCCUCCUCCCUCCUCACUUUCACAAAAUCCGAUCUUUUUCGCCGAAAAUUGAUGGAUUCACCCCGACCAACAUCCACAAAUGGCUCAGGGGAGCACAGUAAAUCGAGCUCCGCCGUCGCGAUGCCGAUAAUGGUUUCGAUCACGACGACGUGAUCUUCAGCACUUCGCUUUACUGUAAAUAUUGUUGGAGAUGGAGAAAACGCAAUGCGAUUCGUCUCGCUCAAAUCGAUAGUUUGAAGCCUCUAUCCAAUUCAGAUUUGCCAUUAGUGGAUCUAGCAACAAUUCAAGCAGCUACCAACAGCUUUGCGAAGGAUAACAAGCUAGGAGAAGGAGGAUUUGGUCCUGUUUAUAGAUGUUUUGUUGCUAAGGAAGGGAGAGUUCCUUUUUAGGGUGUUUUGAGUGGUAGGGUGGAGAUCGCGGUGCAGCGGCUCUCGACGAAGUCGAGGCAAGGCACUGUCGAGUUCAGGAACGAGGUGGAGUUGAUCGCGAAGCUCCAGCACAGGAACGUGGUGAGGCUUCUUGGUUGCUGCGUUGAGAGAGAUGAGAAGCUCCUCACCUAUGAGUACCUUCCUAAUAGAAGCCUCGACGCCUUCUUAUUCGGCGAGUCCGAUUCAAGCAAGCACAAUCAACUGGAUUGGAAGAGAAGGCACCAUAUCAUCAUGGAGAUCGCUCGCGGCCUUCUCUACCUCCAUGAGGAUUCUGUGCCGAAAGUGAAGCUUACUCUAUUUUUUCUAUAUUUAUUGGUCAUUUCAGAUGCAUGACAUGAAUUCUGCUUUCUGCACUUUUUUAACUAAUGCAGUUUUCUUUAUUAUGUUUGUGAUGCUGGGGAGUUCUUUAAGUUCCUCGCCUAUUUAAUGUUGCUCUUGCUGCUCUUUCGUGCGAGGUUAUAAUGAUAUGGACAACUCUACUGAAUAUGUUCGUAAUGGCAUGGCAUAACGAACGAUCCUGGGGCAAUCGCUGUAGCCUACGAAUAUUAUUGUAGAGAUCUGCACAAUAGUUAUCAUACACUUUUGCUUUAAGGGAUCCACAAAUCUGAACCUUGCUGUGGGCUAUCUUGAUUAUCUGCUAUUUUUCUUUUUCUUUCCUUUAUUUUUGUUUUGGACUUUAGUUUUUUUUUUUUCCCCUCCGCCCCCUGAUAUUUGUGAUGUAUUAUUCGAUUUGAUUCUUUGUUACAUUGCUUGCUUUUGACUA